CCCGCAUUCCUAGUCAGUCCGCGGGAGGGGGGGGGGGUGGGGGACACAACCUCGUGACUACUGAUGGCCAUCGCCGAGUAGACUCGCUAUCAAUGUCGAUCUGGCCGACAGAAAGGUGGUGUCCUGACCACCACCAUCGACCACCAUGCCCGCGAGAAAAGAAAACUCGCCCACGGGCACCGCCCGGACCGCGCCAGCCUCGCCUACCCGAAGCACGAGCCCUAACCCACCUCGGGACCAAAUCUGGUCCGCCCAAGCACGAGCCCUAGGACGUAGCCACCUCCGUCCCACGGACAAUCCGCACGCCGCCGGCCUGGAACCAGGAGAAGGCCGCAACGACCACCGCCACGGUAGCUGCGAACACGGCAACGACCCAUUCAUCCACCGGGACCCGAAAGCGACCCAAUCGGAUAGGCCGCAUCACUAGCCGCCAGCUGCGCCCCCGAGCCCGCCGCUACUCCCGAGCAGCCACCACGAGGCCUCGUGGCACAAAACACCCAGAUCUGGAUAGAGCCAACCGGCCUCCGCCACCACAAGCCAACCUCUGGCGCUCCCAGGACGACGCAGCACGCCACCCAAUAGAGGCCCAUGGCCUCAGCCACCUCCCACGCCACGCCCCAAUCACCCUGCACUAGAUCCGACCGGUCCUGGGCAAGGAGCAAGGCGCACGCACCCGUCUGAGCACACCACCUCGUGGCCGCCGCACCACGGCCAAGCAGCAGCUGACCACCGGGCCGCCAUUAGUCGCAGAUCCGCUCACCCGCUGCUGCGUCAGAGGGCCCCACGCCAGCCCACCUCCCCCGCCCGUGUAGCUGUCCCACGCCAGCUGCGCCGCGAGCGAAGGGGAGUCAGAGCCCCUCCGCCACCUAUGCCGGUCGGGCUUAGCCCGCCGGUGGCAGCGGGGGAGGGAAAAGUAGCGGCGACGCGGGGGGAGGGGGGGGGGGGGGGGGGGGGGGCGGGGGGGGGGGGGGGGGGGGGGGGAGUGUGUCCUUGCUGGAACGAACUAACUGCCCGCUCCUUCCUAUAUCUGCAUUGCUGCUCUGUCCUGUCCUAUGUUUAGUUAUCCUUUCGGAGAAGGGACACCAUGAUAAUACCAUGUGACUUGACCAAACGGCCCAGGAAGAUAAGUUUGGGAGUUCAGGAUGACAAGCGUGAAUCCUGCAAGUUUCUGCUAGAUGCAUUUGAUUUCUUUGGCGGUGUAAUUCCUUGUCAUAUCCUUGUACCGCAAGUACUGGUGCAGACAAAGUGACUGCUCUUUCCUUUCUGCGUGAAAACGGGGACGUCAUGUGAGCUGACCGUGUACAUUUCUGAAUGCUUUUUGAGUCCCUACUUCAUGUAUGGCUUGUUCGAUGAACAAACAAGUAUCCUGGUCCACUGAAUGAACAGAAGUUGAGGAUCCUGAAAGUGUAUAGUACUUGCAAUUCAAAAGCGGAACCACUUUGAUUUUUGUGGUAA